rnacentral:tRNA from 1 species
GAGGGUAUAGCUCAAGUGGUAGAGUGUAUGCUUAGCAUGCACGAGGUCCUGGGUUCAAUGCCCAAUACUUCCG